rnacentral:rRNA from 1 species
CAGUAACGCGAGUGAACAGGGAUUAGCCAGCACCGAAGCCUGUGGCCAUUUGGUCACUAGGCAAUGUGGUGUUUAGGUUGUUCCGCAAAGGCACUGCUCCAUCCUAAGUCCAACAAUGAGUACGGUAGUACGGACAUGGCCCGCAGAGGGUGAAAGGCCCGUGGGGGUGGAGAUCAUGUAGGCCAGUCCCUUUCUGGAUAGACCUUUGAGUCGGGUUGUUUGUGAAUGCAGCCCAAAGUGGGUGGUAAACUCCAUCCAAGGCUAAAUACAAGCACGAGUCCGAUAGCGAACAAGUACCGUGAGGGAAAGUUGAAAAGUACUUUGAAGAGAGAGUAAAUAGUGCGUGAAACCGGUCAGAGGUAAACGGGUGGAGUUGAACUGCAAGCUCUGGGAAUUCAGCUGGUGAGUAUGGUUUGAGCUUGGUUAAAUUGGUUGGGCCCUGAAGUCUGCGUAGCAGCAGGCCUUUGCCUUUCGGGGUGAGGGUGCGCGAUACACUUAUCAGGUGUUGCGCGCUUCGGGUGUUCAUCGAGCCGGCUCGCUAGUGCACUUUCUCAGAGUAGUCACCACGACCGGCACUGCUGUCUGACUGUUGUGGUUAAACCGUUCUUGCAUUGUCCUCGUGGCUCUGCUUGAUCGGGAAGGCAGGUAGCUCGUUGACUUGCUCGCGGCUCGCUGUGGGCAUUGGGUCAUUGAGUGUAAUCAGCUGACCACAUCGGUUCUGUGCAGUGUGUCGGAGACGGCGGCUUUUGUGUGUGCGUGCGUGCCUGUUUGGCCAGCGUGUCCGGGUUUGGUUGUUACGUUGCCUGUUUGUGCAGGCCUGAUAAUAACUCGGAUUCGUUUGGUCAGCGGUUGCGUGCGUUUCACAGUUCAUGGGCCAAUAGUCUUGUGUGUA